rnacentral:rRNA from 1 species
UACGUAGGUGGCAAGCGUUGUCCGGAUUUAUUGGGUUUAAAGGGUGCGUAGGCGGUCUUAUAAGUCAGUGCUGAAAUAUCCCGGCUUAACCGGGAGGGUGGCAUUGAUACUGUAGGACUUGAGUAGAGUUGAGGUUGGCGGAAUUGACGGUGUAGCGGUGAAAUGCUUAGAUAUCGUCAAGAACACCGAUAGUGAAGACAGCUAACUAAGCUCUAACUGACGCUGAGGCACGAAAAGUGUGGGGGAUCAAACAGGG